AAAACAAAUAGAGAGGAGGAAUUCCAAGAUGGCGCCGUGAGUAGUCCUCUUUGUCUCUCGCCCUUCGAGUCUACAAUUAUUUGGACACUUAUCGCUUGACAAAGGAUAUCCAGACAGCAUCUCAGGACGUCUGAGACACCCACGCGACUAUACAUCGGAAGGCGGACGGACUUUCCUCCGGGAGGAUGUGGAAAUAGGUGAAAACUCUCCGACCCCGACGGGCAGCCUAGUACCCGCAAGUGGCUUUCUUCCAACGGACGCCCCCAGAGGAUCCACACACAUCUAGGGCAGGAGCGAGAACACAACAGAGGAACGACGGUGGAAACAGGUGACCAGAACCCUACUUAAACCCCCCGCAAUUACUCCUAAACGCAGAGGGAAACUUUGGAGUUGCACACCUGAGCCCGCGGGGAGAGUCUCUCCCCGCCAUUGGCGGGGAGACCCGGCCUGGUGCUCGGGGCACCCGGAGGGUCCCAGAGAGAGACACGGAGGGCACGGAGGUCUCCCAGCUGCCGUUGCCCGCCCCGUGGGACUAGGGAUUGCCGGAGAUCUCGGAGAGGACCGGGGCGGGGGAACUUUCAAAGGCCGGAUCGGCGACCCGGAGGGGAAGUGCCGGAGCUCCGCCCGGGCAGCAGACAAAACUCUCUGUCUGCCGGUAGCAGAGGGGCCACGCCCAGCAUUCAGGGCUCCCGGCAGAGGCUCGGACAGAAGCCCAGAGUGCGGGGCGUCCCCCAGCUGCCGUUGCCCGCCCCGUGGGACUAGGGAUUGCCGGAGAUCUCGGAGAGGACCGGGGUGGGGGAACUUUCAAAGGCGGGUCCGGCGACCCGGAGGGGAAGCGCCGGAGCUCCGCCAGGCAGCAGACAAAACUCUCUGUCUGCCGGUAGCAGAGGGGCCACGCUGAGCAUUCAGAGCUCCCGGCAGAGGCCCGGAGAGAAGCCCAGAGGGCGGGGCGACCCCCAGCUGCCGUUGCCCACCCGGUGAGGCUAGGGAUUGCCGGAGAUCUCGGAGAGGACUGGGGCUGGAGAGAGUUCCAGAGACCCAGCUUAGUAGCCUAGGGGGAAACCCUACAGGCUCACAGAAGCCUUAGGGAAAGCCUCUGCACAGCACC
rnacentral:lncRNA from 1 species